rnacentral:rRNA from 1 species
GAUGAACGCUAGCGGGAGGCCUAACACAUGCAAGCCGAGCGGUAUUGUUUCUUCGGAAAUGAGAGAGCGGCGUACGGGUGCGUAACACGUGUGCAACCUGCCUUUAUCUGGGGGAUAGCCUUUCGAAAGGAAGAUUAAUACUCCAUAAUAUAUUGAACGGUAUCGUUUAAUAUUGAAAGCUCCGGCGGAUAGAGAUGGGCACGCGCAAGAUUAGCUAGUUGGUGAUGUAACGGCUCACCAAGGCGAUGAUCUUUAGGGGGCCUGAGAGGGUGGUCCCCCACACUGAUACUGAGACACGGGCCAGACUCCUAGGGGAGGCAGCAGUGAGGAAUAGUGGUCAAUGGGUGCAAGCCUGAACCAGCCAGCCCGCGUGAAGGACGACUGCCCUAUGGGUUGUAAACUUCUUUUGUAUAGGGAUAAACCUACCCUCGUGAGGUAGCUGAAGGUACUAUACGAAUAAGCACCGGCUAACUCCGUGCCAGCCGCCGCAGUAA